CCGGGAUAGGGGUACAUGGUCUUGCCACUGGCGACUCUCUGGACCUAAGCGAUAAUGCGAAAGCUAGCGACGAACUCCCGGCGUUAGACGGGGAGAGUGUCGGACGCGAUGUCCCCGCUGAC
rnacentral:ncRNA from 1 species